rnacentral:rRNA from 1 species
UUUAUUGGAGAGUUUGAUCUUGGCUCAGGACGAACGCUGGCGGCGUGCCUAAUACAUGCAAGUCGAGC